UACAGAGGUCCCAAGCGUUGUUCGGAUUCACUGGGCGUAAAGGGCUCGUAGGCGGCGUGUCGCGUCGGGAGUGAAAGCCCGUUGCUUAACGGCGGGUUGGCUUUCGGUACGGGCAGUGCUGGAGUGCGGCAGGGGGAGACUGGAAAUUCCUGGUGUAGCGGUGGAAUGCGCAGAUAUCAGGAGGAACACCGGUGGCGAAGGCGGUUCUCUGGGAAUGUUCUGACGCUGAGGAGCGAAAGUGUGGGGAGCGAACAGG
rnacentral:rRNA from 1 species